GUGAGGAAUAUUGCGCAAUGGAGGCAACUCUGACGCAGCCAUGCCGCGUGCAGGAAGAAGGCGCUACGCGUUGUAAACUGCUUUUAACCGGGAAGAAACCCCAGGACGUGUCCUGGGUUGACGGUACCGGAGGAAUAAGCACCGGCUAACUUCGUGCCAGCAGCCGCGGUAAUACGAAGGGAGCAAGCGUUAUCCGGAUUCAUUGGGUUUAAAGGGUGCGUAGGCGGAGCGUUAAGUCAGUGGUGAAAUCCUGCAGCUUAACUGUAGACUUGCCAUUGAUACUGGCGCUCUUGAGUGCGCUUGAAGUGGGCGGAAUGUGCCGUGUAGCGGUGAAAUGCUUAGAUAUGGCACAGAACACCAAUUGCGAAGGCAGCUCACUAAGGCGAUACUGACGCUGAGGCACGAAAGCGUGGGGAUCGAACAGGAUUAGAAACCCCAGUAGUCC
rnacentral:rRNA from 1 species